GACGAACGCUGGCGGCGUGCCUAAUACAUGCAAGUAGAACGCUGAAGGAGGAGCUUGCUUCUCUGGAUGAGUUGCGAACGGGUGAGUAACGCGUAGGUAACCUGCCUGGUAGCGGGGGAUAACUAUUGGAAACGAUAGCUAAUACCGCAUAAUAGCAGUUAUUGCAUGAUAACUGUUUGAAAGGUGCAAUUGCAUCACUACCAGAUGGACCUGCGUUGUAUUAGCUAGUUGGUGGGGUAACGGCUCACCAAGGCGACGAUACAUAGCCGACCUGAGAGGGUGAUCGGCCACACUGGGACUGAGACACGGCCCAGACUCCUACGGGAGGCAGCAGUAGGGAAUCUUCGGCAAUGGACGGAAGUCUGACCGAGCAACGCCGCGUGAGUGAAGAAGGUUUUCGGAUCGUAAAGCUCUGUUGUAAGAGAAGAACGAGUGUGAGAGUGGAAAGUUCACACUGUGACGGUAUCUUACCAGAAAGGGACGGCUAACUACGUG
rnacentral:rRNA from 1 species